CGACGUAGGCACCAAGCGUUUGUCCGGAUUUAUUGGGCGUAAAGAGCUCGUAGGCGGUUCAGUAAGUCGGGUGUGAAAACUCAGGGCUCAACCCUGAGCGGCCACCCGAUACUGUCGUGACUAGAGUCCAGUAGGGGAGCGUGGAAUUCCUGGUGGUAGCGGUGAAAUGCGCAGAUAUCAGGAGGAACACCAGCGGCGAAGGCGGCGCUCUGGGCUGGCACUGACACUGAGGAGCGAAAGCGUGGGGAGCGAACAGG
rnacentral:rRNA from 1 species